GGCAAGAGCUCAGAUUUGAAAUCUCACCUAGUGUGCGAGUUGUAAAUUGCAGGUUGGAGUCUCGGGUUAGACGUGUGUGCAAGUCCCUUGGAACAGGGUGCCACUGAGGGUGAGAGCCCCGUAUCGUGCAUGUCGACACCUGUGAGGCCCUUCUGACGAGUCGAGUUGUUUGGGAAUGCAGCUCUAAGUGGGUGGUAAAUUCCAUCUAAGGCUAAAUAUUGGCGAGAGACCGAUAGCGAACAAGUACUGUGAAGGAAAGAUGAAAAGCACUUUGAAAAGAGAGUGAAACAGCACGUGAAAUUGUUGAAAGGGAAGGGUAUUGGGCUCGACAUGGGAUUUACGCAUCGUUGCCUCUCGUGGGCGGCGCUCUGGGUUUUUCCUGGGCCAGCAUCGGUUUUCGUUGCAGGAUAAGGACAAUUGGAAUGUGGCUCCUCGGAGUGUUAUAGCCUUUUGUAGAUGCUGCGUAUGGGGACCGAGGGCUGCGGCGGACUCGUUUCGUCUCGGAUGCUGGCACAACGGCGCAAUACCGCCCGUCUU
rnacentral:rRNA from 1 species